UCUAUUAUUAGUCUGUUGUUAGUCUGUUAUUAGUCUGUUAUUAGUCUGUUGUUAGUCUGUUAUUAGUCUGUUAUUAGUCUGCCAUCAGUCUGUGUAUGAGCUAAAUGGAGUAGAAUGUGUGUGUGUACUCUAUUUGUAGCCUUUUUAUCAAUCUCCGUGGAGCCAAACAUUCUUUCUUUUGGAUAAACUCCCCCUGUUCCCUCUCCUCUCCCUGUCCUCGUUCAUACCCUCACUCUCUAUCCCCUUACUCACUCCCUCACUCCCUCCCUCCAUCUGCCUCACUCUCUCUUUCUCCUUCUGUCAGUCAUUGAGUCAUGAUGGCGGAGCGGACAGUGCCUCAUGCAUAUCCCAUGAGUACUCAGUGUGAACUGAACUCUCCCAGAAGGAUCUACGACCAGAACUUUGGAGAGGGGAACCCCGCUCCUCAGAAGGACUGUGUGUAUAAAUAGAACGUCCAGCUGAACAGGGUUCCAUAAUAACCUAUGGCAGCCUGGAACACACACACAGGGCUGUAAAGCCUGCAUAGAGACUGGGUAUGGAAAAACAUGUCUGAUUAGAGGAGAGGCAGAAAAAUAACAGGGGUGAGUUUCUCCUAAGCCUUGUAGCCUGAGGUAUGUUUUCUGACCCACACACCAUCCUAGAACAGCUGCACUGGGUUUUAUAGUAACUACUGUAAAUCUCUUACCCCNNNNNNNNNNUCUGUUGUUAAUCUGUUAUUAGUAUGUUAUUAGUGUGUUGUUAGUCUGUUAUUAGUAU
rnacentral:lncRNA from 13 species